AGAUUCCUGGGAUGUUCGAUAACUCCUGAUAUUUUGAACCUACAUUACUUUAAAAGGGACACCUAUAUCAAUAAGAGUAUGUCAGGCCUCCGUAUGCAGUGGAAGACAGAGGGCUUAUGUGCGGUAACCCACCUAGCUUGGGCUAGGAGUCAAAAUUCAGGAACCGGCAUUUUGGGACUUUA
rnacentral:other from 1 species